rnacentral:rRNA from 1 species
CCUACGGGAGGCAGCAGUGGGGAAUAUCGCACAAUGGGCGCAAGCCUGAUGCAGCCAUGCCGCGUGUGUGAAGAAGGCCUUCGGGUUGUAAAGCACUUUCAGCGGGGAGGAAGGCGGUGAGGUUAAUAACCUCAUCGAUUGACGUUACCCGCAGAAGAAGCACCGGCUAACUCCGUGCCAGCAGCCGCGGUAAUACGGAGGGUGCAAGCGUUAACCGGAAUUACUGGGCGUAAAGCGCACGCAGGCGGUCUGUCAAGUCGGAUGUGAAAUCCCCGGGCUCAACCUGGGAACUGCAUUCGAAACUGGCAGGCUAGAGUCCUGUAGAGGGGGGUAGAAUUCCAGGUGUAGCGGUGAAAUGCGUAGAGAUCUGGAGGAAUACCGGUGGCGAAGGCGGCCCCCUGGACAAAGACUGACGCUCAGGUGCGAAAGCGUGGGGAGCAAACAGGAUUAGAUACCCCGGUAGUC